GAGAACUGUGGUAGAAACUCAACAAAUAAUUAUUAAAUGAAUAAGGAUGAGGGUUAAACAAGAUAAGUAAUAAGUGAAGUACAGUUUUACAGCAUUUCCCUAUAGUUAGCUCUAUGAGUUUUAAUCUCAAGCACAACUUGGUUUUCGCAGCACUGGCUUGUCCCUUCCUCAAACUAUCUUGCACUUAGAAACUUGUGAAAACUCAGUGAGGUUUUGCUAGAUUCCUCUUAGUUUUAGGUCAAAUUUCUGGGAGUAUCAUAAUAUAAGUCUAACUAUUACUACCUAAAGCCUCUUUGGGAAAAAUUCCACAUCCCUUGCUCUGCUGCUCUAGAUCUUCUGCUGGGGAAAGUUCUGUUGAAAUGACCGGGCUCUUUAGCUUUCUGCAUCUGAGCAAUUUCUCAACUCCCUUUGGCCUCUGUACAACAGGACACCUUUGCUCUGAGGCUUUCUUCUAGAUUCACUUUAUUUUUUCCUUUGGCCAGGUCUUCUUCUUUUUAAUCUCAGUUCUUUUCCUCUGCUUCCAGGAUUGUUGACCUGAUGUCUGUCAAUCCACUCUGGCCCAACAAGCUACCAUCAUUCUACUCAGAGUCAUGCUGACGAAUAGAGAGGUGAUGUGUCAAGAGACCCAUUUGGUGAAAUGGAAAUUGGAAGAAACCUAAAGCAACAGAGUAGGGAAUGGAAAGCUUGUCCCUGGUAGGUCUAUGCAAUGGCAUUUCCUCCUCAUACUGUUUUUUUUUUUUUUUCUUCAAUGCAAGGCCAAAUUUUAAAAUGUGCGUGCUGAUACGGACAGUUGUGCCUUCUCAUUGUUCAGUGGCUGGUGAAUGUUGAGCUUGCUGAUCCCGGAUGGAUCUUGAUGAAGCUUGGAUAAGCGUGGAAGCUCUGAAGCUCACCUAGGUUAAGAGGUUGGAUGCAGCAUCAAGGUAUUGUUGGUGUGUGCAUGCAUAUCAUUCUAGAGAGAUAAGAGAGCCUAGAGGAAGGAUUUGGCAUGGAAUAUUGCAGCAAAAGGAUUUUCAUUUGUGCUGUGUUAAAAAUAGUUCUGAUUAUGCUGGUGGGAAAAUGGCAUCCUUUAUUAUGAUGUAAUCUUUUAGUUAAGUGUAUUAAAAAAUUAUGGCUGCAAUUCAGAGCCAGAAUCCAUGUCUGUUUCUUGGUUCUUCAUUUAUUCUCAGCAGGUAAAAAAAAAUGACAAGACUUGCCCUCUGUGUGGAAUGUGGAAGCAAAUGUCCCUACCAACAGCUCUAUCCAUAUAGCUAUUUCAAAUCCAUAUUUGAAAUGGCCAAUUUGUUGCCAAAGAUUGAAAGCAAUGUGAACUAAUUAUAGAGAAGGAGUUUGCCUAACAGAAGGGCUUUUCACUAGCAGCAAAAUGGGGCUGUUUCCCUUUUGCAUUGCUGAUAGCUUGAUGGGAUUUUAAAAGUACACAGUAGCCUUUAAUAAUUUCUAACUUGGACUCACACAAGAAAGCACUUGAUGAAGGAGGAUUUAGAAUGCAAGGUAGAGUAGGAAUAUUUGUGUUGGAUGACGGGCUAAGGCAGCUAAAAGAGUAUCACUUGGACAAAAUGGAUGUGUUAAUAGCAGAAUAGAUUCACAGAAGCAGUAUUCCUCUUUGAGAUAAUCAAAAUUCCAAGUGUCAACCAAAUAGGCGAGAGCCACUUGCACAGGAGUGAUUUGUUCAGGCAAUGAAGUUGUGUAUUACCAGUAUUACCAUCAGCCAGUAUGACACGGUGUCCAGGGGAAAGGCAGAAAAUGUGGGCAGAAGAUUGUUACAUCACAUGCAUCCAGAGAAGGUUUCUUUGCAGAAAGCAAUGUAAUACUUCAUUUUUUGUGCUUUCCU
rnacentral:lncRNA from 12 species